GGAAACAUGACAGGACACGAGACGACUCCAGCCACAGCCACUAUCUGACUGCAACUGCACGGGAGACCCCGAGCGAGAAUCCCGAAGUGAGAACCGCCUCGCUGAGUGCAGUCGACCUCUGGAACCAUGAGAGAACAAUCACCAGAGAAGCUUGCGAACCCAGAGAUUCCUGGAGCCCUGCCUUCAGUGUCUGAUUCAGUAGGGAGAGCCCAGGAACCUGCAUUUGAAUAUCUACUGGGGUUUCCGAUUGAAUUCUCCAACUGAGUGUUCUGCCCAUCCUGCGAAUCUACAAGAUUUCAACUAUUGUCUACAUCUCUGGCCCUGACUUCAAUCCUUCAUCCUCUGAUGCUGCUUGAAAUUCCCUAGUUGGGUGUUUUGCCUAUCUCAAAUUAAUUAUCUACAACUGAACUCAUCUUCGGCUUGGAAUCAGUAAUCUUCUUGACACUUCUCUUUUUUGACGGUGGUCCCUUAAGUGAUUCACUCAUCUAGACUCAGAAAAACUCAUAUUUUUUUUUAAGAUUUUAUUUUCUUACUUAUUUAAGAGAGAGCGCAAGAAACUGGUAGACGAACAGACAAGAUGCUUAAUGUGGAAGAAAUUUUUAUGACAGAAAUAUUCAAAUGGAGGAUGGAAAAUCACUUGUUGGGAGUGCCUUUAGGAGGACUAUCUGUAUCCAGGAAAAAUACAAGGGAGCUGUGAUUCUAAUUGUAAAGAUUAGUUAUGAAGUAUUUUCAGUUAAAAAUUCUACUUAGGAAGUAGUACUUGUAAUUGAGAGAAUUUUGAAGUGUGGGACUCCUGUCUUCUCUGUCCCUGGAUCCUGCUGCCUUCAGUGUUUUGCAAAGCCGGAGUCAUUUUCCAGGUCAACAAUUCUGAUCCUGAUGCUGUUACAAAGUAAACCAUCAGCCUAGGCAUGUAUUGGUCAGCAUCUGUUCAUUUACUAAAUAUUUUAGAACAUUAACUGGUUCUUGGCCAAAUACUGAUCUGAUAGACUUUGAGGUGGGACUUUGCAGCCAUGAACAUUCAUCUGAUCACCUUCCAGGAUGUUUGUGAGUGCUGGAGGGACCAGUUAAGGUCAUCCAAUCCAAUGGCGUCACUUGUUCCACAUGAUGCUUUCUUCAUCCAUCCAAACCUGCAAAUGUGCAGGUCCCACAGAAAGAGCCCCAGCUCAGCUACAAGGAUUCCUGGCUUCCAAAAUGGCCAUUGAGGUACUGUGUGUGCCUGAUCAAAGUGCCUCUCGAGGCCUCAGUUUCUUUCCCCAUAGUACAUGGCUACUGCUGGGAUGCGGACCUGGUUUUCUUCAGGUGAGAACUGGAAAUGUGGGAAACUUCUUUGACGUGUUGCUUUUCCCACAUCCCCCAAGGACCCACCGAUCCCCAUCCAUUCUCUUCUCUUCUCGGGGAUCCACCCUGCUCCUUCCAUCCCCAGUGCAACUGUCCCAGUUCAGAUCUUCAUCAUUUCCCACCUGAAGUAUCACAAUACCCUGAUAACUGGCCUUGCUUCCUGGAUUGUGCCCACCACCCCCUCCUCUACUACUAUCCAUUCUUCAUACAAGCUGUGCUAUUUUUUAAAGGAAAAUAUGAUCAUGUCCCUCCCUUCUUAAGUCUUCAUUGGCUUCCAAUUAACUUACAUGAUCAUACAUAUACUCCUUAGCAUGUGCCUACACUUGAUUCCCUAAUAUUCCAGUUACCUCCUUUGUUCUGUCUUUGGUCUUCUUUCCCUCUCACUGUAGAAUCCACAUCUUACCGUUUACUUACCCAUUUCCCCCACAGUAAACUCCUUCAGGGCAGAGACUGUUCAAAAUCGAAUUCCUGUGGCUAGGACCAGCAUGUGCCUGCCUGGCACCCAAAGUAUACUCGAUAAAUAAAAACCCAAGAAGACUA